rnacentral:rRNA from 1 species
CCUACGGGAGGCUGCAGUGAGGAAUAUUGGUCAAUGGGCGCAAGCCUGAACCAGCCAAGUAGCGUGAAGGAUGACUGCCCUACGGCUUGUAAACUUCUUUUAUCAAGGAAUAAAGUGAGGCACGUGUGCCUUUUUGUAUGUACUUUAUGAAUAAGGUUCGGCUACCUCCGUGCCAGCAGCCGCGUUAAUACGGAGGAGCCAGGCGUUAGCCGGCUUUAUUGGGUUUAAAGGGAGCGAUGAUGGGUGGUUAAGUUAGUUGUGAAUGUCUGCGGCUCAACCGUAAAAUUGCAAUUGAUACUGGCAGUCUUGAGUACAGAUGCGGUAGGCGGAAUUCGUGGUGUAGCGGUGAAAUACUUAGAUAUCACGAAGAACUCCGAUUGCGAAGGCAGCUUACGAAACUGCCACUGACAUUGAUGCUCGAAAGUGUGGGUAUCAAACAGGAUUAGAUACCCUUGUAGUC